rnacentral:hammerhead_ribozyme from 1 species
AUUCAACUGACGAGUCCUAAAUAAGACAAAACGAGCUUCCUAGAU